UGGUGGGUAGUUUGACUGGGGCGGUCUCCUCCUAAAGAGUAACGGAGGAGCACGAAGGUUGGCUAAUCCUGGUCGGACAUCAGGAGGUUAGUGCAAUGGCAUAAGCCAGCUUGACUGCGAGCGUGACGGCGCGAGCAGGUGCGAAAGCAGGUCAUAGUGAUCCGGUGGUUCUGAAUGGAAGGGCCAUCGCUCAACGGAUAAAAGGUACUCCGGGGAUAACAGGCUGAUACCGCCCAAGAGUUCAUAUCGACGGCGGUGUUUGGCACCUCGAUGUCGGCUCAUCACAUCCUGGGGCUGAAGUAGGUCCCAAGGGUAUGGCUGUUCGCCAUUUAAAGUGGUACGCGAGCUGGGUUUAGAACGUCGUGAGACAGUUCGGUCCCUAUCUGCCGUGGGCGCUGGAGAAUUGAGGGGGGCUGCUCCUAGUACGAGAGGACCGGAGUGGACGCAUCACUGGUGUUCGGGUUGUCAUGCCAAUGGCACUGCCCGGUAGCUAAAUGCGGAAGAGAUAAGUGCUGAAAGCAUCUAAGCACGAAACUUGCCCCGAGAUGAGUUCUCCCUGACUCCUUGAGAGUCCUGAAGGAACGUUGAAGACGACGACGUUGAUAG
rnacentral:rRNA from 1 species